rnacentral:rRNA from 1 species
UACGGGGGGGGCAAGCGUUGUUCGGAAUUACUGGGCGUAAAGGGCUCGUAGGCGGCCAACUAAGUCAGACGUGAAAUCCCUCGGCUUAACCGGGGAACUGCGUCUGAUACUGGAUGGCUUGAAUCCGGGAGAGGGAUGCGGAAUUCCAGGUGUAGCGGUGAAAUGCGUAGAUAUCUGGAGGAACACCGGUGGCGAAGGCGGCAUCCUGGACCGGCAUUGACGCUGAGGCGCGAAAGCUAGGGUAGCAAACGGG